CUUGCUUCUCUUGAGAGCGGCGGACGGGUGAGUAAUGCCUAGGAAUCUGCCUGGUAGUGGGGGAUAACGUUCGGAAACGGACGCUAAUACCGCAUACGUCCUACGGGAGAAAGCAGGGGACCUUCGGGCCUUGCGCUAUCAGAUGAGCCUAGGUCGGAUUAGCUAGUUGGUGGGGUAAUGGCUCACCAAGGCGACGAUCCGUAACUGGUCUGAGAGGGUGAUCAGUCACACUGGAACUGAGACACGGUCCAGACUCCUACGGGAGGCAGCAGUGGGGAAUAUUGGACAAUGGGCGAAAGCCUGAUCCAGCCAUGCCGCGUGUGUGAAGAAGGUCUUCGGAUUGUAAAGCACUUUAAGUUGGGAGGAAGGGUUGUAGAUUAAUACUCUGCAAUUUUGACGUUACCGACAGAAUAAGCACCGGCUAACUCUGUGCCAGCAGCCGCGGUAAUACAGAGGGUGCAAGCGUUAAUCGGAAUUACUGGGCGUAAAGCGCGCGUAGGUGGUUUGUUAAGUUGGAUGUGAAAUCCCCGGGCUCAACCUGGGAACUGCAUUCAAAACUGACUGACUAGAGUAUGGUAGAGGGUGGUGGAAUUUCCUGUGUAGCGGUGAAAUGCGUAGAUAUA
rnacentral:rRNA from 1 species